GAAGUGCGAAUGCUGACAUGAGUAGCGUUAAAGGGGGUGAAAAGCCCCCUCGCCGAAAGCGCAAGGUUUCCUACGCAACGUUCAUCGGCGUAGGGUGAGUCGGCCCCUAAGGCGAGGCAGAGAUGCGUAGUUGAUGGGAAACGGGUUAAUAUUCCCGUACCGAUUGCAAGUGCGAUGUGGGGACGAAUUUUUGCAGUUUGACCACUUAUUGGAUUGUGGUUUCUGACCUGUAGGCGUCUGGUAGGCAAAUCCGCCAGACAUAUACCGAGGGGUUGGAUGUAAGCGAAUUUAUUCGCCGAACCAAAUGAAUGAAGUUCCAGGAAAAGCCACUAAGCUUCAGCUUGCAACGACCGUACCGCAAACCGACACUGGUGCGCGAGAUGAGUAUUCUAAGGCGCUUGAGAGAACUCUGGAGAAGGAACUCGGCAAAUUGACACCGUAACUUCGGAAGAAGGUGUGCCUUUAGUAUGUGAACUGAACAAGGGAGCAGAACGAGGUCUCAGAGAAUCGGUGGCUGCGACUGUUUAUUAAAAACACAGCACUCUGCAAACACGAAAGUGGACGUAUAGGGUGUGACGCCUGCCCGGUGCCGGAAGGUUAAUUGAUGGGGUUAGCGCAAGCGAAGCUCUUGAUCGAAGCCCCGGUAAACGGCGGCCGUAACAAUAACGGUCCUAAGGUAGCGAAAUUCCUUGUCGGGUAAGUUCCGACCUGCACGAAUGGCGUAACGAUGGCCACACUGUCUCCUCCUGAGACUCAGCGAAGUUGAAAUGUUUGUGAUGAUGCAAUCUCCCCGCGGAAAGACGGAAAGACCCCAUGAACCUUUACUGUAGCUUUGUAUUGGAUUUUGAACGGAUCUGUGUAGGAUAGGUGGGAGGCUUUGAAGCUGGGACGCUAGUUCUAGUGGAGCCAACGUUGAAAUACCACCCUGGUGCGUUUGAGGUUCUAACCUAGGUCCAUUAUCUGGAUCGGGGACAGUGCAUGGUAGGCAGUUUGACUGGGGCGGUCUCCUCCCAAAGCGUAACGGAGGAGUUCGAAGGUACGCUAGUUACGGUCGGACAUCGUGACGAUAGUGCAAUGGCAUAAGCGUGCUUAACUGCGAGACUGACAAGUCGAGCAGAUGCGAAAGCAGGACAUAGUGAUCCGGUGGUUCUGUAUGGAAGGGCCAUCGCUCAACGGAUAAAAGGUACUCUGGGGAUAACAGGCUGAUUCCGCCCAAGAGUUCACAUCGACGGCGGA
rnacentral:rRNA from 1 species